ACGUGAAACCGUUUAGGGGUAAACCUGAGAAACCCGAAAGGUCGAAGGGAGAAAUUCAUUCGCGUUUCGCCGUCGNNGCGUGAGACGGGAUCGUGUGACGGAGAGCGCGUUCGCGCGUUUUCCGCACCUCCCGUUUUUCGAACCGAUGGUGAACGCGUGCACUUUUCUCCUGGUAGGACGUCGCGAUCCGUUGGGUGUUGGUCUACGGCUCGUGGUGGAGACCGAUCGUACGGCUUGCCGUUAUGAUCGGACCCGCGUGUCCUGGCUGACUCGCUCGACGGUAUGCGAAAGGUUUAAGGCCGCUCUCUUUUUGAGCGUUCGACUCGUGGCAAGCGCGUCAGAUGUAUGUCGGCGACCGGACCUAGUGCCGGUCCUGACCUCUGAUGACUGUUGGCCGCGAAGUUCUCGAACAGACCUCUAACCGAUCUGCGACGCUAUAGCUUUGGGUACUUUCAGGACCCGUCUUGAAACACGGACCAAGGAGUCUAGCAUGUGCGCGAGUCAUUGGGAAUCACUAAACCUAAAGGCGCAAUGAAAGUAAAGGUCCGCCUUGCGCGGACAGAGGGAAGACGGGUGGUUCACUCACAAGGUGGCCGCUCCGCAUUCCCGGGGCGUCUCAUUCUCAUCGCGAGAAGAGGCGCACCAAGAGCGUACACGCUGGGACCCGAAAGAUGGUGAACUAUGCCUGGUCAGGACGAAGUCAGGGGAAAGCCCUGAUGGAGGUCCGUAGCGAUUCUGACGUGCAAAUCGAUCGUCGGAACUGGGUAUAGGGGCGAAAGACUAAUCGAACCAUC
rnacentral:rRNA from 1 species